CAUACUCGAAGCGAUCUGAUCCUAGCUUUGUUCCCAGAGCUUCUCGAUUACCUGCGUAGUCUAAAGUCAAGAAACCCUGGAAACGAGAAUGGUCUGGAAAAUCUGCUGCAUGUCAACCUCGCACCCAGGGCUUCUUCAGAGCCACAAGCGCAGAAGCCCUGGGUACGAUGUUGGCUGCAUGUUUGUUACAACUUGUACGUUUUGACGUGUGUUACCACUGAACACCAUGACUUGUGCAUCAACACAAUGAACAACACAACACGCCUGGUCGGGAAGUGAAAGACGACGAGUUUUGAAUAAAACAGAAUUUCAGAAGUUUAAUCCUAAAAUUCGUCUAUAUUGCUUUGUAGGAAGCAAUUUAAUACAACUCUCCAUUCCGGACAAACAACGCAACAUGAAACGUUAAAGCAGGUCAGGACGGUUUGACA